CAGAAUGAAGAAAGUUAAACUAUCAGCAUGGUGACUCCAUGUGUGGAGCCUGGAGAUUACUGCAGCCAAUAGCAAUCACCAGCUCUCACUGAACCUUCACCUCCUGUCAAACAACCACAAUGCGUGUUCCCUGCAAAUUGAAGAGUUUCCCAGGUGGCACAGUGGACUGUGUCACAUGAAAUCUUCUAGAUCUGUGGAUACUGCUAUCUGGCAACAGUAUGGUCAAAUAAAAAAAAAAAUAUAUGAAAAUAUUAAAUGAAAAGUAUCCUGAAAAAUGAAUAGGAACAACUGGGUACCAAUCCAGGAAACAGAUGUCCAUGUAUCGACACAAUGCCAAUCAGUAAACAACAGAACUGGUUGAAUGAUAUCCAUGUUACAUAAUUGCAUGUUGUGGAAUUAUUAAUACAUAAGGUAUAAAGUAAAGGGACAGUACCAUUAAAAUUUAGCCUGUGAUACCUACA